ensembl:lncRNA
CAAAGGAAGAGAAAGGUUGCUAUGCAGCCCAAAAGCAAACGUCCAUGACGUGGGGAGAGCGCAGGCAGCACAGGGAAUUUAUAUCUGACCCACUGCCCUGUAAGCUUCUUGGCUAUGAGAGAAGUCAUCAAAAAGAAAAUGCAGUGGAUAAGGACUAUGCAGUAUUCGUGAACAUCUUGAGCCUGAAAAUGAAGAACUCACCAUUCUGUGAAAAUGUGAAUUCAUCCGUAGAGCAUUAAGAUAUUAAUGUGUGUGCUCUAAGACAGCCCUGAAAAUUAGUGCAGGAGAACUCUGCCACCUUCAGGGAAGGCUGCAUAUGCCUGAGGAGUUGCUGAUCCCAGGGACUCUAUCUUGUCUGGAGAAUUGGUUCAAUUGGGGUGUCCUAUUAGUCUCGGAUGCUAAUUAAUUAAUAAGUAUAUAUUUAGUGUCUUCUCUUCCCUAGCUCUGUGCUGUGGGGAGGAUUGGACUCCUGACUUCAAGGGAGUUGUUAUUCAAUUCAACAAGCAUUAAUGUACCAUGCAUGGUGCUAAGGAUUAGGGUCAUACAGGUAAACAGAUUGAGACCUACGCCUUAGAGAUGAGACAGUACACGAUGGUCUAUAACAAAGCAUUACCUCGUGCUCCUAGGGACUGCUUUAAAUUCUGUACCUCCCAUGCCGUGGAAGAUCUGUGAUUAUUUGUGUUCUGUGGUAUUUCCGUGAUCCAACUUUAUCUCUACUGCACUUUAUUUGUAAAGUCAACUCUUGGGCUUUCGCUCAAAACUGACCAGUAUUUACAAAUUUACACACUUCUUUCUGUCCAAAAACUCUCUGCCUCUCUUUCUUGCCCAUAGCUUAGGUCAAGGUUUGCUUUCUCUUACGUCUAUCAGCAAGAUACAUACUUGGGAAGGGGCAGUGCCAUCUUUGGUGUAUUUUUCCAUAUCUGUGGGCAGUAAUGUCAGAUAUAGAGCUGUGACCCCACCCAGAGAAUACAGCAGAAGGGUCUAGGGACAGGAGGGAAGAAUAGCGGGGUUUCCAAUGACACACAGGAAGGACACGGGGGGGUGAGUGCUUUGUUCUGGAACUGCAUGUCUGUGUUUGGGUGCAUAGGCUAAGAAAGGAACUGGUUGCUCAGGGGCCUUGUCUUGACCCGGUAAGUGCCCUCUGGGCAUUUGUAUGAUGGGAGAUUAAUACUACAGCACAUGCUUGAGCUUUUACUAUUUAAAUCCAAAUUUGUGUUCUAGGAAGACACUGGGCCCAGUGGGUCCCACUCCCUGUCCUAAAUGUCCACCAGGCUGAAUGGAGCUGGAUGAUGUCCUGGAACUCUAAGAAUGUCAACGGAAGGGGCAUGAGGGUCUCUGGUGCUGCAGUGAAGGAGUGUGGACAAAUGUGGGUGGGUGUAGAGGAUUGAGAAGGGGUGGAGGGAAGGAAGAGGGGCCUUCCUUGGACUUUCUCCUUGAAAUCAUUCACUGUGCUGCUCCAACCCAGAACCUCACGAAGCCAGGCCUCUGGACUGCACCCAACUACCUUCACGGUCCUUCUCUCCCCAAGCAGAGAACAUGGCUGAAUAUGCCAUUUCCCUUGCAGGAUGUAAAAUGGGCUUGGAUUAGAACUGGGCCCAACUUAACUCUUUCCCCAGACUUAUGUCUACUCUUUCAAGACGUGGACAAUUGCCAGGCCACAAGAACAUAGUGUAUAAUAGGAAUCCAGUAAUGCUGUUGUGGUCAUAGCUUAAUUGCUCUGAAGAGGUAACAGAGAUCCAGGCAAUAUCAAAAGUGUGUGAGUCCCCUUUGAUCUCAACAUUGAUCCCAACUUCCCCAGGUCCCCACUUGCCAUAUCCGUCCCCAGGGUCUUAACUUGUUGGAGGCAGUGAGUCAAAGGAGUUCGCAUUAAACUUGAGGGAUGGGAAGUUAUGGGGGCAAAUUCUGGCUCUUUGACCAGCACAUUAUGGCUUUUUUGGUUAGUCAUCAACUUCCCUGAAUCUCAGCUUUCUACUUUACUGAUGAGAUCAAUACUUUAAAACGUUUUAAUAGCUUUAUCAGAAAAAUGAUUCAUACUCCUUGUAAAAUAUUCACAUAAUAUAGAAAAGAACAAAGCAGAAAAUAAAAACAUUACACCAAAUUUCUAUACCCAAAGAUAAU